rnacentral:rRNA from 1 species
UCCUACGGGACGCAGCAGUGAGGAAUAUUGGUCAAUGGGCGCGAGCCUGAACCAGCCAAGUAGCGUGAAGGAUGACUGCCCUACGGGUUGUAAACUUCUUUUAUAAAGGAAUAAAGUGAGGCACGUGUGCCUUUUUGUAUGUACUUUAUGAAUAAGGAUCGGCUAACUCCGUGCCAGCAGCCGCGGUAAUACGGAGGAUCCGAGCGUUAUCCGGAUUUAUUGGGUUUAAAGGGUGCGUAGGCGGCUUGGCAAGUCAGUAGUGAAAUCCAUGGGCUUAACCCAUGAACUGCUAUUGAAACUGUCGG